rnacentral:rRNA from 1 species
AUUGAACGCUGGCGGCAGGCCUAACACAUGCAAGUCGAGCGGAUGAAGGGAGCUUGCUCCUGGAUUCAGCGGCGGACGGGUGAGUAAUGCCUAGGAAUCUGCCUGGUAGUGGGGGAUAACGUCCGGAAAGGGGCGCUAAUACCGCAUACGUCCGGAGGGAGAAAGUGGGGGAUCUUGGGACCUAACGCUAUCAGAGGAGCCUAGGUCGGAUUAGCUAGUUGGUGGGGUAAAGGCCUACCAAGGCGACGAUCCGUAACUGGUCUGAGAGGAUGAUCAGUCACACUGGAACUGAGACACGGUCCAGACUCCUACGGGAGGCAGCAGUGGGGAAUAUUGGACAAUGGGCGAAAGCCUGAUCCAGCCAUGCCGCGUGUGAAGAAGGUCUUCGGAUUGUAAAGCACUUUAAGUUGGGAGGAAGGGCAGUAAGUUAAUACCUUGCUGUUUUGACGUUACCAACAGAAUAAGCACCGGCUAACUUCGUG